GGGGGAUAGCCUGUCAGGUAGCCUUGUAGGGUGUACCUGUGUGGAUGAGGAGCCAGUGCCCACUAGAUUAUAGUGGCAUGGGGAGGCUAGUCCUGAGGAGGAUAGUCUGUCAGGUAGCCUUGUAGGGUGUACUUGUGUGGAUGAGGGCUCGGAAUUUAUUUGCUAGGGUUUGUGAUGGGAAAUGGUUGCAUUUCUAAGGAAAUAGCGCCCAUUUUAUUUAGGGGGGGGGUGACUGUAACACCCAUGACAUUUAGAGAAAAUGUCAUGUGUAUUUACACAUUUAUAAAAGUAAAAUAGAGCUAUAUUUUUUAUGUCGACUCUCGCGGUAACGGGAGUUUGACGAGAGUUUGACCGGUAUAAAUAACUUCCGGUCGAGCUGAGACUUCCUUUCUGUUGAGUGUCGAGGACGAGGGGGUCGAAGUGGAAGGUUGUCCUAAAUCAGGUUGGUUAAAAUAACCUUGUAUUUCAUUGAAAUAACCUUGUACAUGUAUUUCGUUUGCCAAGGCUUUGGUCUAAAGAAUGUUACAGUUUUUGUGGAGGUCGGAUUUAGUAUUUAGUAGGAUGUCUUACGAUUUUGUUUGAGGGGGAGGACUGCUCCCACCUUAGCGUUUGAGGCAAUGGCCGACGCUGAUUGAAUAAGGGGAUACUAGCUAGGGAAUAUGGUGGUUGAAUAUCUAGGACCCAUAUUGAGAUAGGAUGGAUGUAGUUUUGUGUGCCUUGAGUUUGAAAAUACGUAGGUGAUGGGUUUAGGUACAGAGAGGGUACCACGUGUCCUCCACGUGUAGCAAAAUCCCGUGUAAUGAAUAAUAUCAUGGAGAUUUCUGAUGUUAAACUUGUUCGAGGGAGAAAGGAGGUGUAUGCAAUGGAAUUUGCUGUAGUAAGAUUUGUGUAUAUGUUAGGAAAUGCCAUGAGGAAUAUAAUGUAUGCGAGGGAAUUUGCUGUAGAACGAUUCUUGCAUAUGUUUGGGCAAUGCCGUAAGGAAUAUAAUGCAUGUGAUGGAAUUUGCUGUAGUAAGAUUUUUGCAUAUGUUUAGGCAAUGCCAUGAGGAAUAUAAUGUAUGUGGGGGGAUUUGCUAUAGAAAGGUUUUUGCAUAUGUUUAGGAAAUGCCAUGUGGAGUAUAGUGUACGUGAUGGAAGUUGCUCUAGGGAGGUUUUGUGUAAUGGAACUUUCUUGUUUUGAUUUCAGGGCAACAAGUCCUUCUACUUCUUCUCUUUUCUUCUCUUCUCUCUUCUUUCUUCUCCUUCUUUUCCUUCUACUCCUUUUCUUUUUCUUUCCCUUUUUUUUUCACCUUCACUUCCACUUCCUCAGUUUUCUUCCCAAAUCUUCUUCGCCUGUUUCUUCAUGUCUUUAUAACUUCGCCAGCCGUCAUCCCAAUAAAGAAUUCAGCUGACGAA